UACAGAGGGUGCGAGCGUUAAUCGGAUUUACUGGGCGUAAAGCGUGCGUAGGCGGCUUUUUAAGUCGGAUGUGAAAUCCCUGAGCUUAACUUAGGAAUUGCAUUCGAUACUGGGAAGCUAGAGUAUGGGAGAGGAUGGUAGAAUUCCAGGUGUAGCGGUGAAAUGCGUAGAGAUCUGGAGGAAUACCGAUGGCGAAGGCAGCCAUCUGGCCUAAUACUGACGCUGAGGCUCGAAAGCGUGGAUAGCAAACAGG
rnacentral:rRNA from 1 species